rnacentral:rRNA from 1 species
AGUAUGCAACUAUGACAAACUCAUAUACGUCAGGUCAAAGUGCAGCUUAUGGGAGGGCGACGAUGGGUUACACCCUAAAUAAAGAUACAAAAUAUAACACUAAAAGCUAUAUGAAGGUGGACUUGGACGUAAUAAAGAUACAAAACCAAAAUGAAAACGAAUCUGAGACAUGCACACAUCGCCCGUCACUCUUGCCCAAAGGUAAGAUAAGUCGUAACAAAGUAGGUGUAACGGAAGUUGCACCUGU